GGAAGUCUGUAAAAGUUUGUGUAAAUACAAGCAGUUACAGAUUUUUUUGUUCUCCUCCAUUCCCACUGCUUUACUUGACUAGCCUAAA
ensembl:misc_RNA Y_RNA Y RNA